rnacentral:lncRNA from 1 species
CCGUUGGUAAUGCUGUCUCUAAUAGAUAUAUUAGCGACGAUAAAAAUACCGUCACUAAUGGCCAUCGCUAAUAGGUUAAUUUCUCAUAGUAAUGCUAGACUCUAGCAAUAGGACCCCAUUUAUAGGAAAGCUGGACCUGAAUGUCUCCAACCAUCCCCUCUGACUAUGCGAUAGGUGUCACCAUAUGGGAGACCUCAGAAACCAUGCCUCCUGAAAGUUAGAGUUCCAAUAAUCCUUCCCAAUAGGCUAUUAUUAUCAGGAAGUACCAACAUUAAAUGCCAUGCUCCCCUAGGCUCCUAGAUAGUGCAACCACAACAAUCGGAUCGGAGUAGAUUGAUUCCUCAGAGAUAUUUUAGCUCCAACCAAGACCUCUAAAAUUAUGUUUGGCACAACACCGAUGAUGGUGAUUAUGGGAUAUUUAGAUGCCAAAUUGAAUCCCGAUGACUAGAUCGGAGGAUCCAUCCCUCGGAGAUACUUUGGCUC